rnacentral:rRNA from 1 species
UACAGAGGUCCCGAGCGUUGUUCGGAUUCAUUGGGCGUAAAGGGCGCGUAGGCGGCAGAUCAAGUCAGCUGUGAAAUCUCCGAGCUUAACUCGGAACUGUCAGCUGAUACUGUUUUGCUAGAGUGCGGAAGGGGCAAUCGGAAUUCUUGGUGUAGCGGUGAAAUGCGUAGAUAUCAAGAGGAACACCUGAGGUGAAGACGGGUUGCUGGGCCGACACUGACGCUGAGUGCGCGAAAGCCAGGGGAGCAAACGGG